AGCAGUCGCCGCGGGAAUACGUAGGUGGCAAGCGUUAUCCGGAAUUAUUGGGCGUAAAGCGCGCGUAGGCGGUUUUUUAAGUCUGAUGUGAAAGCCCACGGCUCAACCGUGGAGGGUCAUUGGAAACUGGAAAACUUGAGUGCAGAAGAGGAAAGUGGAAUUCCAUGUGUAGCGGUGAAAUGCGCAGAGAUAUGGAGGAACACCAGUGGCGAAGGCGACCUUCUGGUCUGUAACUGACGCUGAUGUGCGAAAGCGUGGGGAUCAAACAGGAUUAGAUACCCGAGUAGUCCCUGUCUCUUAUAC
rnacentral:rRNA from 1 species